rnacentral:rRNA from 1 species
UACGGGGGGGGCAAGCGUUGUUCGGAAUUACUGGGCGUAAAGGGCUCGUAGGCGGCCAACUAAGUCAGACGUGAAAUCCCUCGGCUUAACCGGGGAACUGCGUCUGAUACUGGAUGGGUUGAGGUUGGGAGAGGGAUGCGGAAUUCCAGGUGUAGCGGUGAAAUGCGUAGAUAUCUGGAGGAAUACCGGUGGCGAAGGCGGCAUCCUGGACCGGCAUUGACGCUGAGGAGCGAAAGCUAGGGGAGCAAACGGG